AUUGAACGCUGGCGGCAUGCCUUACACAUGCAAGUCGAACGGCAGCACGGGUGCUUGCACCUGGUGGCGAGUGGCGAACGGGUGAGUAAUACAUCGGAACAUGUCCUGUAGUGGGGGAUAGCCCGGCGAAAGCCGGAUUAAUACCGCAUACGAUCUACGGAUGAAAGCGUGGGACCUUCGGGCCUCGCGCUAUAGGGUUGGCCGAUGGCUGAUUAGCUAGUUGGUGGGGUAAAGGCCUACCAAGGCGACGAUCAGUAGCUGGUCUGAGAGGACGACCAGCCACACUGGGACUGAGACACGGCCCAGACUCCGACGGGAGGCAGAAGUGGGGAAGGUUGGACAAUGGGCGAAAGACUGAUCCAGCAAUGCCGCGUGUGUGAAGAAGGCCUGCGGGUUGUAAAGCACUUUUGUCCGGAAAGAAAGCCUUGGCCCUAAUACGGUCGGGGGAUGACGGUACCGGAAGAAGAAGCACCGGCUAACUACGUG
rnacentral:rRNA from 1 species